UCAAAUUCUAGCCAACACAUGUUAAUUUGCUUGAUCCCUAACAAUCCUUAUUUCUACGAAUAAAUAGCUAGCCAAAUUCUUAAGUUUCAAUAAAAGUUGCACAUAGACUUAGUAGCACAUAGACUUAGCACAUAGACUUGCUUGUUUUCUAUGCUUCUUCAGCAACUCACUUUAAAACCUCAAUUGCAGGAAUAGAAGGAAGCAGUGAGUGGAGGUUUUGGUCUAAGACAUCGGAAGCUUAAGCUUUAAAGGAACUCCGAGGAUGUUUAGUAGGCUUUUAGGAAAGCCCAAAGAGCAAACCAGCACCUUGGCAACUAUCAAGAAAUUAUAUGAGACACUUGAAAUGCUCGAGAAAAAGGAGAAAGUUCUCCUUAAGAAGUCUGAUGUUGAGAUCGAAAAGGCAAAACAAUUCACCAAAACUAAAAACAAAAGAGACUCGAGUUUACUUGAUACUAGAAUAUGCAGCUAAAGGUGAACUCUACAAGGAA